rnacentral:rRNA from 1 species
UUAGCAUGAGAGUUUGAUCCUGGCUCAGAGCGAACGCUGGCGGCGUGCCUAACACAUGCAAGUCGGACGGGGUGCACG